rnacentral:lncRNA from 1 species
CUCUCUUUGUCUCGUUAGAACCCCAGGUCGCACCUCCCAUCAAGGAAGAUGUCCAGAUUGCUGUCUGACGUCUGGUCUCUGGACUGAAGGCCAUUUAGUGCAGAUCUCACAAAUGAUGGUGGGGCAAGGCAGGGGGUAUGCAUGAGUGGCAUGGGCAAGGUGUGAGUUGGGGGAUACAAAAGGGAGUGGUGGAGGACGGGCACGGUGGCUCACACCUGUAAUCCCAGCACUUUGGGAGGCCAAUGUGGGCGAAUCACCUGAGGUCAGGAGUUCAGGGCCAGUCUGAUAGCCUGAGCAACAUGGAGAAACCCCGCCUCUAAUAAAAAAUACAAAAAUUAGUGAAGCCGACUUGACCAGCAGGUGGCUGUUGUGUGGCCUCUCAGGAGGACGCCCUCUCCCUUCCCCCAGUGGUUGCAAAAUACUUCAGAAAGAAAACCAAAGUUCUCUGUGGGUGCAGUCGGUUGUUUCAGAAGCUGACGGAGCCUGGUCUUUGUAUAACCCCAUCUUUCCCCUUUCUUUCUGUCAACUGUUUAUGGGAGGAUUCUCAAACUGUUCUGGAGAAUGUUUCUACCCUUUAGUUCUAGUGUUGGGUGACCUGUAAUUUUCAUGUUGGCUGGGGAUGCCAGGAGUUGGCAGAGGCUCCUUCCAGAGCCCCUGUGGACUGAAUUCUGCCACUUCCGUAAAAUCAUUUAAAAGUAGAGGGUGAGUCAAGUGCAGUAGCUCACAUCUGUAAUCCCAGCACCUUGAGAGGCCAAGGCAGGCAGAUACCCUGAGGUCAGGAGUUCAAGAUCACCCUGGCCAACAUGGUGAGACCCUGUCUCUACUAAAAAAUUUAAAAAUGAGCUAGAUGUGGUGGCCCACGCCUGUGGUCCUA